ACAGCUGCACUCACCUUGUUACCUGCCAGGUGAGACACGGAAAAGACAUUCAGUCCUCAGAAUGAAUUCCACCCUCGCGCUGAAUAAAGCAGCUCGUUCAUUAGUCUCGUGCUACCUGAGUGAUUGGAAGACAGGGUUUUGCAGUAUUUCUGUUAUCCGCACAGCUGGAAACUUUGCCUGGGUAUUUAUGUGCUCAAAAAUUUCAGUCAUUGUUUCUGGUCGUGUGUGUAAGGCAGGCUACAUCAAUGCCAACUAAAGCUGACACAAUGGAGUUAUGGAUGAUUUAUUAUGUUUGAUCCACAGCCGUUUUCAGGUUGAGGUGGAAAAUCUAUUUUGGUAAAGUAAAACAAAUGUAAAACUGAAAUGGAUGCCAGCCUGAAACACUGCUGAGCUAAACUGUCUGGACAGCAUAGCCUAAAUGUUGCAUCAUGACUGUAGAAUUGUACAAUAUCUAGAGUUGCAUGGAUAUUAUAGUUAAACAAUUUCUAAUCUUCAUUUUUAACACAUCUGACUGUUUUAAUUUGUUUUGAGGACUCUGGGAGUGGGACAGGUUACUUGUCUGGUCUGAAAACCCUUUAAUCUCUACAGCAGCCACUUUACUGGUUGUGGAGGUGUAGCUCCAGUAGUUUGGUUGUGACAUCUCUCACUGAGGGCAUGGCCGCGGUGUUACCACAUGCAAGCAGGCAUCAGAAUGUCAGGUAUGUUGGUGAACCAGAUCCACUCAGCCUUUUCUCAGAUGAAGGGUGUGACUCUGUACUUUCCUGGAGAUUGGCAUGGUUUAUUAAAAAUGCUGUCAAUAAAAGACUACCUGACAGAAUUAUUGCACAAUAAAUCCACUGAGCACAUGAUAGAUGAGUCACAGGUAAAGAGAUGCAAGAAAAUGUCCUGGAUCAAAGUAUUUGUUUUUUGUCGAUUAAAGAAAAUGAUUGCAUGUUGGCUUGUAUUAAAUGUACACUUGUGUAUCUGUUACAACAGAAAUAAACAUGAUCAAUAAACGCUUGGAAAGCACUUAAUACUGUA